GAAAUGGUGAAGGGUAGUUCCAUUACAUCCACCAGCCAGCUUGUUGAAAAAAAUAAACGGCUAUUUAAAUCAAAUUUAUUUUUCUUUAAGAACUAUUAUUGCUCUUUAUGUUCAAUUUUUGUUUUCUCGUGACACUUCUUUGCAGGUUCAUCAAUAUAAUUUUUGCUCAAAUUAUAGAAACCACACUAAUGAUAAUUUUUGUUUUUUUUUUUUUUUUUGUCCUUUAAAUUAUAGAAACCAUACUAAUGAUGAUUUCCAACUUCAUGCAUAUGCCACUUUUGGGAUUUGAAAGUUUAAUAACUGGGGAACUCAUAGUGGAGCCCCAUGGGGUUCCUUCUCUUCUUUCUAAGUCAUCAAUAUUGUUUUAUUUCCUAUGGUGUGGCCUACCUAGUUUUUGGAAUACUGCACUUUUUAGGUAGUUCUUUCAUCUUGACAAGGAACAUUAGAAGAAUGGUUUUAAUGUAAUCUACAGGUUUGUGGGAGAUACAUGUGCAUUGACAACUAAUAUUUUAAUGGGGUGGAUCUUAUGAAAGUUCCACCCAAGGGGCUCUCAGUUUGUUAGCCUGGUUCUUUUUGGAUAAUGGGAGAUAUGUGUACAUUGACAACUAAUAUUUUAAUGUAAUCUAUAGGUUUAUGGCUAAUGAUGGGAAGAUGAAGCUGAAGGUAAUGCUUCUAACCCAUUCCUCUUCAGAAAUACAUUCUAGAAAACUUCAGAACUUUGGUCUGAUUUCUAUUCUUGAUUAUACCUACAGUGUCAUUCCAAAUCAGCCUGGAAAGUAAGUCCAAUUAUACCUACAAUGCCAUUCCAAAUAUCUUUUUACAAUGUACAUGAUGCAUUUCUCAUAAGAAUCUAGAGUAUUACGUUUUGGAUUUUGAACAUUCCUCAGCAGAAAUUUUUAGCAUCUCUACCUUUUGCUAGUUCUAUAUGCAUUACAAGUUUCAGUUAAGAUGAUUGCCGGAGUUUCCUUGUUGAACUACCAUAGGUGUUCUUAUGUUGUUAUAGAUUUCACAGGAGACACAUUUUCGCACCUAGCAAGUGAACAAGUUUGCCUCGCUUGGUCUAAAACGACCUCCCCUCGGGUCAAGAGUGCAUCGAGCAUAUCCAAAAACCAGUUAGGUACAUAAAAGGCCAUCACAUUGUGGAGCUUUUCAUCUGCUUAACGGACUUUCAUUGAAUUGUAUUUUUAUUUUAAAGUCUUCCAUUGUAGAUUUUAGUUUUUACUUUCAGGUUUGCAAGUCAGAUAAAUAAUGUUUCAAAUUACAUCAUGGUUGUUUUUACUAUCUUUUGAUUCUUAAAUGAAUAUGGCUUAAAUAUAUUUUAUUUUAUUUUAUACAGCAGGUUUUUUUUUUUU